rnacentral:lncRNA from 1 species
GCGUGAGAGCGAGCGACAGGGCAGGAGAGAGAGAGCGACAGGGAAGAAGAGAGAGAGCGACAGGGCAUUAGAGAGAGACAGACAGACAGAGAGGGGGAGAGGGAGAGCACACUACAUCUGAGAGGAAAGGCAUUCCUUUCGACUGACCAUGAGGAUGAUAAACUCCACUAACUCCUCACAGGAUUCAUGGAGAUACGAGUGGGAAUAUUACUACGAUUAUUUAGACCCAAUACCAGUGGACGAGCGCAAACUGAAAUAUAACAAGUACUUGAUCGUGAUCAUAUUCUGGAUCAGUCUGGCUGCUUUUGUGGGAUUCCUGUUUGUCAUUUUGACUUUCAUGUCCCGCUCAGUCAGUCUACCCAAAGCUCACAGUUCUAAAAAGGCCAAGAAAUCGUGGAGGAACCCUAGAUCCAAUUCUGCUUGAUGGAGAAUACUUGAUCUGUUUUCUGCUUUAUCCCAACCCCUCUGAAAGACACACACACACACACACACACACAUACACACACACACAUAUACACAUACACAUUGGGAGCAGAAGGCAGCCAGUGCAGAACCCAAAGAGCAAUUUUAGGGGUUAAGUACCCCAAGGACACACUGGCAGGAUAUGUCAUUUGGAACAUCACUGCUGUGGUCUGAUGGAAGAUUUCUCAACUCUUCAGAACGAUUAUAAAACAGAUGUAACAUCGACUAUCUGCAAUGUAAUAGCCUGGUUAUAAAGUGGGAUUCAAAUACAAGACCACACCAAAACGGUUUUACAACAUUUAAUAAAAGAGAAGUGAAUGUUUUCAACAAUAAAUGAAAUGAAUGACUUUACAUAACACACAACUUCUUUUAGAAAAUUCAGAUGCAAAAUAAUGAGGCUUCCAUUUUAUGAGUGAAUACCGUUUCAAAAUAAUGAGGCUUCCAUUUUAUGAGUGAAUACCGUUUUCAAAUUUGUACAAGUAUGCAUGCUGUAUUCUGAUUUGAGAUUCUCAGAAAAUGUCCUCUCUCACUAGACGUAAAUUGAUGAUUUGCACAAAAGUCUGAGUUGUGCACACUUAUCUCAACUCUGAAUCUACUGUAUGGAACUGUUCUCUAUUCCACACACACACACACACACACACACCAAACAUUAGGAACACCUUCCAAACAUUGAGUUUCUACCCCCCCCCCCCCCCCCUUGCCCAUAGAACAGCCUCAAUUCGUCGGGACGUGGGAGACUCUACAAGGUGUUAAAGCGUUCCACAGGGAUGCUGGCCCAUGUUGACUCUAAUGCUUCCCCACAGUUGUGUCAAAUUGGCUGGAUGUCCUUUAGGUGGUGGACCAUUCUUGAUACACACUGGACACUGUUGAGCAUGGAAAAACCCAGCAGCGUUGCAGUUCUUGAAACAAACCGGUGCGCCUGGCAAGUUACUACCAUACCCGUUCAAAGGAACUUAAAUAUUUUGUUGUUCCUAUUCACUCCCUGAUUGGCACACAAACACAAUGCUUCUUCAAUCUGUCUCCUCCCCUUCAUCUACACUGAUUUGAAGUGGAUUUAACAGGUGACAUCCAAUAAGGGAUCAUAGCUUUCACCUGGUCAGGAAAGAGCAGAUGUUCUUAAUGUUUUGUACACUCAGUGUAGUUCACUACUUUUUGACCAGAGACCACGAUGGGCCCUGGUUAAGAAAUAGUGUACUCAAUAGGGUGUAAUGUGGGCCACAGCUAUUUAACCCCUAUGGUGCAACAGUAGACUGCAGUCCUGAGAGGAGGUCACUACAGAUGGUUCUGAGGGCUGUGUGUGUCUGGGAAUGUCGUUUGGACUUUUUCUUCUGGUCCUUGGUCCCUAUAGAACCCUGGAUCUCGUUCACCACUCGGACGUGGUUCAGGAACAGCUCUGGGCUCUUCGCUCCGCUCCACAUCUCAUGGAUGUACAGAGACAGCAACAUCAGACCUUCUGGAGGAGGAGAUCAAGAUCAACAACAUAUGAGACGUGUCAUUUCCUUCCAUUUCCUUCAAUUUCCAAGCAACACAAGUGAUGCAACCAGUUUCAAUAUAACUCUUUUUUUCCCCUGGGAAUUUCUAUCUAUACCUGAUGUUAUUUUACAAACCACUGCAAUCUCCCCUGUUACGGUACAAUAAAUAUUGAAGAUAAAGUUAAUCUGAAUCGGUCAUCUUACCCUUCGUGGUCUGGUCAUCACAUGUUCUUCCUAGGGAGCAUGCUGUGAGCACGGCCCUGUGCAGGUCACUGUCAGCGCAGCCUCUGGCCUCCAGGAGUUGGGUCAUAAUGUUGGUGAACAGCUGGACGUGCUCUACCAUGGAAGAGAUCUGGGCCUGGGGCUGGGUCUGGGGCUCACAGGCCUGGUGAUAGAGACAGAGCAGGUCCAGUCUCACAGCAGGGUCAGCCAGCACCAUGUCCACUAUGACUCUGUGAGGAAGGACAGUCUUCUGGAACCAGCGAAGGAAGUGGACUGUCCUUUUGUCCUCGUAGGUGGAGGCUCCCUCUACCAAGGAGUUCAGGAACCACCUGGUGAGAAGAUGGGCUGUGGUGUUGGCCAGGGGGGUAGAGGUGGGAGUAUGGGGGUCAGGGGAGGGACAGCCAAGAGAGACAGGCACCCAGUGGGUAAAGAUAUUCCUGAGGUGAGGAGUACACUUCUCCAGCAGAGUCUUCUCCUCCUCUCGUCUCUCUACCUCUCCUUCCUCUCCCUGUUCAUUUGGUCGGGAGUUAGAACGGGCCUGGGCCUGGACAGAGGAGCUUCUUCCACGGCCUUUCUCCCUGCCCGACCCUGAGGAUGUACAGAAACACAAACAGACAUGUUGAUUCUGCUGUCAUAGACGAGGACUAGGGGGUGAAUAAUGCCAGGCUGAAACCAAUGCCAGUACAGAGGUUUGUCAAGGCAAGGUUCAUACACAUUUUGACAGAUGGAAUUUCAUGACUUUUCCAUGACUUUUAACCAAAUUUCCAUGACCAACAAUUGGCAGCGUCUCUAAGUACAUAGGGCGCCAUCCGUAAUUAUUGGGACAGUGACACAUUUUUGUUGUUUUGGCUCAGUACUCCAGCACUUUGGAUUUGAAAUCGUAACAAUGACUAUGAGGUUAAAGUGCAGGAUGCCAGCUUUAAUUCGAGGGUAUUUUUCCAUCCAUAUCGGGUGAAUCAUUUAGAAAUUACAGCACUUUUUGUACAUAGUCCACCACCAUUUUAGGGGACCAAAAGUAUUAGGACAAAUUGACUUACUGUAUAUGUGUAUUGAAGUAGUUAAAA